GACGAACGCUGGCGGCGUGCUUAACACAUGCAAGUCGAACGGAAAGGCCCCUUUGGGGGUACUCGAGUGGCGAACGGGUGAGUAACACGUGAGUAACCUGCCCUUGACUUCGGGAUAACUUCAGGAAACUGGGGCUAAUACCGGAUAGGAAUCCUUGCUGCAUGGUGGGGGUUGGAAAGCUUCGGCGGUUUUGGAUGGACUCGCGGCUUAUCAGCUUGUUGGUGGGGUAGUGGCUUACCAAGGCUUUGACGGGUAGCCGGCCUGAGAGGGCGACCGGCCACAUUGGGACUGAGAUACGGCCCAGACUCCUACGGGAGGCAGCAGUGGGGAAUAUUGCACAAUGGGCGGAAGCCUGAUGCAGCAACGACGCGUGCGGGAUGACGGCCUUCGGGUUGUAAACCGCUUUAAGCAGGGGCGAAGCUUGUGGUGACGGUACCUGCAGAAGAAGCACCGGAUAACUACGUG
rnacentral:rRNA from 1 species